AGUGAACGCUGGCGGUAGGCCUAACACAUGCAAGUCGAACGGCAGCACAGUAAGAGCUUGCUCUUACGGGUGGCGAGUGGCGGACGGGUGAGGAAUACAUCGGAAUCUACUUUUUCGUGGGGGAUAACGUAGGGAAACUUACGCUAAUACCGCAUACAACCUACGGGUGAAAGCAGGGGAUCUUCGGACCUUGCGCGAUUGAAUGAGCCGAUGUCGGAUUAGCUAGUUGGCGGGGUAAAGGCCCACCAAGGCGACGAUCCGUAGCUGGUCUGAGAGGAUGAUCAGCCACACUGGAACUGAGACACGGUCCAGACUCCUACGGGAGGCAGCAGUGGGGAAUAUUGGACAAUGGGCGCAAGCCUGAUCCAGCCAUACCGCGUGGGUGAAGAAGGCCUUCGGGUUGUAAAGCCCUCUUGUUGGGAAAGAAAAGCAGCAGGUUAAUACCCCGCUGUUCUGACGGUACCCAAAGAAUAAGCACCGGCUAACUUCGUG
rnacentral:rRNA from 1 species